rnacentral:tRNA from 1 species
GGGGCUGUAGCGCAGCUGGGAGCGCGUUUGACUGGCAGUCAAAAGGUCGAGGGUUCAACUCCCUCCAGCUCCACCA